AAGUGGCCGCCUGAGGCGCCUUUUUCCCACGACGAUCAAAGCCCGGCCCUCAGCGGCCGGGCUUUUUUUAUGCCUGUC
rnacentral:misc_RNA from 1 species